AUUCUUUUUCCCUCUCUUUUAGAAGUAUAAAUCUUAAAUCAUACAGUUUGAAUUAAAAACCCAAAUAAAUUCAUGAUUUCAAAUUCACUUAUCCUAGCCUUAACACAUUUGGAUAAGCAUGAUAAAGAACAAGCAUGAACACAUAAUUUCAAAAUUCAGAAGAAUUCUUCUACAAUUACAUAUUUACAAUGUGUUUUACGCCUUCAGAAAAGACGUAUUGAACUGACAAGAGAAAAAGCAAUACUAUCAACAGACCUCUUCCAGGUCCCAUCAGAGCA
rnacentral:misc_RNA from 1 species